rnacentral:rRNA from 1 species
GACGAACGCUGGCGGCGUGCUUAACACAUGCAAGUCGAACGGUGACCUCGGAGCUUGCUCCGGGCGAUCAGUGGCGAACGGGUGAGUAACACGUGACCAACCUGCCCCUAGCUCUGGGACUAACCCCGGGAAACCGGAGCUAAUACCGGAUACGAGACCGAGCGGCAUCACACGGUCUGGAAAGUUCUUCGGCUAGGGAUGGGGUCGCGGCCUAUCAGCUUGUUGGUGGGGUAACGGCCCACCAAGGCGACGACGGGUAGCCGGCCUGAGAGGGCGACCGGCCACACUGGGACUGAGACACGGCCCAGACUCCUACGGGAGGCAGCAGUGGGGAAUAUUGCGCAAUGGGCGAAAGCCUGACGCAGCGACGCCGCGUGAGGGAAUGAAGGCCU